CCAUGCCUUCCACCCUCUACGUGUAAGAGAGGCUCUUGGCCCCAAGCCUGUGUUCCACACACAGCCCCACACAUGGCUGAAGACGGAGCAGGGGUGCCCCGAGCAGGACCUGGGGGAACAGCCACGGGGGGGUGGAGGGGACAUGAGAGAUCUCCCCGCAGCCCCAACCACCAGCAGGAUGGAAUCCCUGUCAACGCUCCCUGCGUCCGGGACCAAGGCCCCCUCUCCACACAGCCGUCUUUCUAGAAGCCAGAUGCUCUGCUGCCUGCCGGCCCGCCUGCCUGCGCUUCAUCAGAAUUCAGCAAAAGGGACAUAAAAAAAAAAAAAAAAGGAAACUCUGCUUAGCUCUUUCCUCCUAAAGAUCACCAACGUGCAGACGCUUAAAGAGACAUUUUUUCAGAGGAACAAUGGGUGAGCUGCGUCCAAACUGUGGAAGAAUGUUCUGUGAGAUAGCAUGACGAUAGCUGCUAAGACAUCAAGUCAAAGAGCAAAGCAGAGAGAGCCCAGGGAUGCCUCAAAUGUCCGCUGCCCUGCUCUGCCCAAGGAGCCACAUGCACACGUGGGCCUCUCCCAGAAACAGGGGGACCCCCCCGUGGGACGGGUUUUGAGAAGCCUUGACCUGCAGCCAUCACCUGGACAUGGGGAAAAGCUUUCAUGUCUGCAGGCUGGGAAUCACAGCACUGAAGUAGGCGAUGCUGAGGGAGUCCGUGGAGGAGAAAGGUCUCCCUUCCAACGUGGUCCCGGACCCAGCCUAACCCGGGAAGCCGCCAGAACCAAGGCACAGACAAGGAAAAUCAGGAAGGAGAGUGAUCAGCCUGGAGCAAGGAAGGAAUGGUAAGGAAUUCAACUGCAGGGGGACCAAUGGAGAACCGAGAAUGCCAUGCAAAGACGCUGACCUCUCCAACCCUCAGGUAAGCAAAUGGUUAGGUGGAGAGGGCUGGGCUUUUGUGAUAGGCUCUGCCUGGGAAGACAUUUUCAAGGCCAGUGGUGAAGACACAGGGAGGCUGACACUUCCCCCCAGCUUCCUGGCCUAACGUGUCUGCGGGUGACACUGCCUGUCUGGACAGGAGACCGAGUCGCUGCCCCUCCCCAAGACCACCAGGUCAGCGAGCAUACACAGGCCUCAUCUGUCACUUUGCAGCCUCUGUCAGCCCUGCCCGCUCUUAGAGUUUCCCGGGUGCCCUGGCUAUAAUCUGCACACACAGCCCCCACACCGAGCUGAGCCUCCCAGGUGUCUGUGGGGUGGAGCUGCACCUGCAGUCACUGAGCCACAGAAAGGCAAGGUCAAAGUCGGAGGCCGUGGGUGGGAGAAGCUAGGCUCUACCCUGCUGCUGCUGAGGCAGGAACUGCCUGCCUGCGUUCCCACCUAGCUCUGUUCUGUGCAGCUGGUAACCUUGGCAAGUUCUUGACUUUGCUGAGGGUCAGUUAUCCCCAUCAACUAAGAGUCGUGGCCCACGCCAUGCAAGGAUGUGGCUUUCCAUCCCAUGAGACUGCACUUGCAGAGCACUGGAUAGGCAGGUGGCCUUGGCUCAUGGGCACUCCCUCCUGCAUGGAAUGGGGAAUGCAUAUGGGAGUGCUUCCUAAAAACUGAAGGCCCCUGGCAGAUUCCCUCCCUAAAGGCAGCUAGUUGGGCAUGGGUAGAGAGGCGAUCCAGGCCUGCCCCCCAAGCUGGUCCCAGUGCGCAUUUGGAGCGCUAUUAUGCACCCGUUUUAUAGCCUGGGAGAAGCAGACAGAGGCCAGUUGCUGGGUUUCUUCCAGCCCCAGUGAGGUCGGUCUUCCUGCUGCUGCUGAGAAACGUUCAGCACAAAAUGCCUGGAGCCCCGCCAGCCACUGAGG
rnacentral:lncRNA from 1 species